GUUUAAAUAUGCUGGACUGCAGAACAGCUCCAUAGUUAUCAGGAGGGUGACGGAGGAAGAUGAAGGAUGCUAUCACUGUUUGUUUAACACCUACCCUGACGGAGCUCUCACUGGUUCAACCUGCCUCCAACUCUAUGGUGUUGAUGAGGAAUCUGGGUCUGAUAACAGUGAUCUCAAUGUCACUUUGAUCACUGUGUUGGUCGUGGUGUCCUGUGUUUGUGUUGCUGCUGCAGUCAUC